GUCCAUGUAGCUCAGUUGGAUAGAGCAUCCGCCUUCUAAGCGGACGGUCGGGAGUUCGAGUCUCUCCAUGGACGCCA
rnacentral:tRNA from 1 species